UUUCCCCCUUUUGCCUCAUAUUGGGCUAAUAUACACCCCUUGAACUACAUUAAAAAAGGAAAGUAUUUACAGGAAGCCUUUAGCGAGCUUCAACCACGGUAACUGACAUAUUAUUCGCAUAUUUGAUUUUUAAACUAGCUGGUGAUGAGUAUAGAGUAGUACUAUCUUUCUUGAUGAUAGAUGAAGUUUGCUUUAGGAUGAGAGUUGUUCCAGUAUGUAACAUGAAAACUAUUACUGACGUCGUGGGCUGAUCAGGAGCAUAUUGAACAUGUAACAUGAAAACUAUUACUGACGUCGUGGGCUGAUCAGGAGCAUAUUCUUGCACGCACAAAAGACCAACAAGAAUGCACCUCAAAUCUUUGUUGUCUUUGUAAGAGUUGUCGACUGAUGAAUCUACUAUAUCCAAUGCUCUUUUUCUCUCUACAAGUCCCAA
rnacentral:lncRNA from 1 species